rnacentral:rRNA from 1 species
CAAGCGGUGGAGCAUGUGGUUUAAUUCGACGCAACGCGAAGAACCUUACCAGGGCUUGACAUCCCCUGACCGCGUAUGAAAGUACGUUUUCACCCUCGGGUGACAGGGAGACAGGUGGUGCAUGGUUGUCGUCAGCUCGUGUCGUGAGAUGUUGGGUUAAGUCCCGCAACGAGCGCAACCCCUACGUUUAGUUGCUAACAGGUGAAGCUGAGCACUCUAGACGAACUGCCGUUGACAAAACGGAGGAAGUGGGGAUGACGUCAAAUCAUCAUGCCCCUUAUGUUCUGGGCUACACACGUGCUACAAUGGCCGGUACAGACGGAGGCGAAGCCGCGAGGCGGAGCAAAUCCGAAAAAGCCGGUCUCAGUUCGGAUUGCAGGCUGCAAUUCGCCUGCAUGAAGUCGGAAUCGCUAGUAAUCGCAGGUCAGCAUACUGCGGUGAAUACGUUCCCGGGCCUU